AGAAGGGAAAAUAAUUAUUGGGUGAUGGUUUAUCUGAUAUAAUUUGUUAAAUCAUUCACUUUUUUGCAGUGUGUAGAGUUUAUGCAUAUAUUCUCCAUAUGUUCUGCUUUUACUCAGGUGCACUGUUGCCUUUCUGAAUAUUUUGCCUGUUUCCUUUUCCCAUAGCCUAAGAGUGGAACCUUGUGAUUUCCUUAUCAUAAGUAGUCUGCUUAACUCAGGAUCUGUUAGUAUUUUGGACCUGUGGACUCACAAAUCCAAACUGCUUCAGAAAACCUCCAUUCUCUUUUGUCUUUUCAUCCUGUUUAUUUUUCUUUUAUUGAAGUAUAGUUGACAUAAUAUUAUAUCAGUUUCUGAUGUACAACAUAGUAACUUGAUAUUUAUAUAGAUUAUGCAACUUACAAAGUUAUUACAAUAUUACAGUCUUUUGACUAUAUUCCUUGUGCUGUAUAUUACAGCACUGAGACUGAUUUAUUUUAUAACUGGUAGCUUGUAUCUCUUAAUCCUCUUCACCUAUUUUGCCCAUCCCCCACCCCCUCUUUUCAUCAUCUGUAAAUACCUACUUCCAUUCCAAUUGGAGUACAUAUAUUCUUAUAUACUCUAAAGUAUACAUAGAGUGCUUUUUUCCCCAAAGAAUGAAAAUCCAGGUCAAAGACUGUUAAUUAAGCUCUUUCUUUAAGCUUUAUUUUCUUCCUUAGAAACUCAAUAUUUCUGUUUCCUCAAUUGCUAAAAAAGCCCUCAUUCAGGUUGAAGAAGACAUGGUAAAUAUAUACAAUGGAAUAUUACUCAGCGAUAAAAAAGAACAAAAUACUGUCAUUUGCAGCAACAUAGAUGGACCUAGAGAUUGUCAUACUGAGUGAAAAAAAGAUAUAUGGAUGUUACUGAACAUUGAAUGGCCACAAAGGAGAGUGUUCACUGGCUUUGCCCACAUUAGAGAUGAUUUUCCUCCCAUUUUUAGAGAAGAAUUUUUCAGUUUCAGAAUCCUGAAUUGAUCAUUCCCAUUUCUCUGCCCCAUACUUCAAGAUCUCAUUCCCUUUGGCUGCUAAUGGUGUUUUUACAAGUCUCUUCCAAUCUAUCCUACCUAUUUCAACCAAAGUGUUCUUUCUAGGGUAUGGUUGUAUCUCUGCCCUAAUUAAAAUUUUGGAUGCUGCC